GACGAACGCUGGCGGCGUGCUUAACACAUGCAAGUCGAACGGAAAGGCCCUGCUUUUGUGGGGUGCUCGAGUGGCGAACGGGUGAGUAACACGUGAGUAACCUGCCCUUGACUUUGGGAUAACUUCAGGAAACUGGGGCUAAUACCGGAUAGGAGCUCCUGCUUCAUGGUGGGGGUUGGAAAGUUUCGGCGGUUGGGGAUGGACUCGCGGCUUAUCAGCUUGUUGGUGGGGUAGUGGCUUACCAAGGCUUUGACGGGUAGCCGGCCUGAGAGGGUGACCGGCCACAUUGGGACUGAGAUACGGCCCAGACUCCUACGGGAGGCAGCAGUGGGGAAUAUUGCACAAUGGGCGGAAGCCUGAUGCAGCAACGCCGCGUGAGGGAUGACGGCCUUCGGGUUGUAAACCGCUUUCGCCUGUGACGAAGCGUGAGUGAAGGUAAUGGGUAAAGAAGCACCGGCUAACUACGUG
rnacentral:rRNA from 1 species